ACUCCUACGGGAGGCAGCAGUGGGGGAAUAUUGCACAAUGGGGGAAACCCUGAUGCAGCCAUGCCGCGUGUGUGAAGAAGGCCUCGGUUGUAAAGACACUUCAGUAGGGAGGAAGGUAGUGUAGUUAACACCUGCAUUAUUUGACGUUACCUACAGAAGAAGCACCGGCUAACUACCGUGCCAGCAGCCGCGGUAAUACGGAGGGGUGCGAGCGUUAAUCGGAAUUACUGGGCGUAAAGCGCAUGCAGGCGGCCUGUUAAGUCAGAUGUGAAAGCCCGGGGGCUUAACCUACGGAAUUGCAUUUGAAACUGGCAGGCUAGAGUCUUGUAGAGGGGGUAGAAUUUCAGGUGUAGCGGUGAAAUGCGUAGAGAUCUGAAGGAAUACCAGUGGCGAAGGCCGGCCCCCU
rnacentral:rRNA from 1 species